GUUGUUGUAGUAUAGUGGUGAGUAUCCCCGCCUGUCACGUGAGAGACCUGGGUUUGAUCCCUGGUAACGGCA
rfam:Ipomoea nil DNA, scaffold: scaffold3056, cultivar: Tokyo-kokei standard.